CUGUAUAAAAUACAUAUGCCACAUUGCGUGAAAAUAUAAUUCAAUAUUAUAAUAAUAACGCAUAUGACGGUUCCGUGAUUUUAAUUUAUUUUUUUAUUAUUAUUGCGGUCCGUUUAAAUAUUGUCUACUCGACACACGUUGAUUAUAUUAUAUAUAUCAUACGACAAUGUUAGAGAUUAUUAUAAUAUUUGUCGAACGAUCGACCGUGUUACCGCUGAUGCGCCGCGCCGUCACGUAUUUCGUCGUACGUACGCGCGCGCGCGCAAGGCGGGACGCUUUCGACUCUUCGAGUUUACUACUUAGAGUUGAUCGCGUGUUCGACACGGUCAAUAUGUCGCGAGACACAUAAAUAUUAUCAAAUCUCUAUAAAACACAAUUGACGUAUACAUAAUGAUAUAUAUGUUUUAAAUCAUCGACAGUAGGCGGACUCGACGUCCGAAGAGCGCAUCGACGCCGUCGUCGUUAUCGAUCGUUAUUAUUGUAAAAAAUGUAACGUAUCGUAGCGGUUGCGUCGUCGUAACGCUGACGGAUAUCGCGUCUGCCUCAUUUUUUUAUCGUUGGCCUCAGAUCAGGGAGGAUCACCCGCCGAAUUUAAGCAUAUUAGUAAGCGGAGGAAAAGAAACUAACUAGGAUUUCCUUAGUAGCGGCGAGCGAACAGGAAAGAAGCCCAGCACUGAAUCCCGCCGUUGUUCAGGCGGCGGGAGAUGUGGUGUUCGGGAGGUUCCGCUUUCUCGUCGCGAUCGCUCCUGUCCAAGUUCGUCUUGAACGGGGCCGUUUUCCCGUAGAGGGUGCCAGGCCCGUAGCGACGGAGGAUCGCGGCGAGAGGGACUCUCCUUAGAGUCGGGUUGCUUGAGAGUGCAGCCCUAAGUGGGUGGUAA
rnacentral:sRNA from 1 species